rnacentral:rRNA from 1 species
AUUGAACGCUGGCGGCAUGCCUUACACAUGCAAGUCGAACGGUAACGGGCCUUCGGGUGCCGACGAGUGGCGAACGGGUGAGUAAUGUAUCGGAACGUACCUUUCAGUGGGGGAUAACGUAGCGAAAGUUAUGCUAAUACCGCAUAUUCUGUGAGCAGGAAAGCAGGGGAUCGCAAGACCUUGCGCUGAUUGAGCGGCCGAUAUCAGAUUAGCUAGUUGGUGAGGUAAAGGCUCACCAAGGCGACGAUCUGUAGCGGGUCUGAGAGGAUGAUCCGCCACACUGGAACUGAGACACGGUCGAGACUCCUACGGGAGGCAGCAGUGGGGAAUUUUGGACAAUGGGGGCAACCCUGAUCCAGCCAUGCCGCGUGAGUGAAGAAGGCCUUCGGGUUGUAAAGCUCUUUCGGCCGGGAAGAAAUCGUAUCAGCUAAUACCUGGUGCGGAUGACGGUACCGGCAUAAGAAGCACCGGCUAACUACGUGCCAGCCGCCGCCGUAAGAC